rnacentral:rRNA from 1 species
UACGUAUGGAGCGAGCGUUGUCCGGAAUUAUUGGGCGUAAAGGGUACGCAGGCGGUUUAAUAAGUCGAAUGUUAAAGAUCGGGGCUCAACCCCGUAAAGCAUUGGAAACUGAUAAACUUGAGUAGUGGAGAGGAAAGUGGAAUUCCUAGUGUAGCGGUGAAAUGCUUAGAUAUUAGGAGGAAUACCAGUGGCGAAGGCGACUUGCUGGAAUCUAACUGACGCUGAGGUACGAAAGCGUGGGGAGCAAACAGG